rnacentral:rRNA from 1 species
CCGGUUUGAACUCAGAUCAUGUCGCCUGUUUAACAAAAACAUGUCUUAUUGAUUUUAUUUUUAGGUUUAGGCCUGCCCACUGAAUUAUUAUUGAAUGGCCGCGGUAUUUUGACCGUGCUAAGGUAGCAUAAUCAUUAGUUUCUUAAUUAGAAGCUGGAAUGAAAGGUUGGAUGAGGGAAUUACUGUCUCUAAUUAAAUUUUUUUGAAUUUUAUUUUUUAGUGAAAAAGCUAAAAUUUUUUUGAAAGACGAGAAGACCCUUUAGGAGUUUUAUAAAAUUUAGAUUUUUAUUAUUUAUUGGAAUAUAAAAUUUUAAGUUUAAAUUUUAUUUGAUUGGGGUGAUUGAAAAAUUAAAUUAACUUUUUUUUGUUGAAAACAUUAAUGUAUGAUUUUUUGAUCCAAUAUUUUUGAUUAAAAGAUAAAAUUACCUUAGGGAUAACAGCGUAAUUUUUUUAGAGAAGCUCUUAUCGAAAAAAAAGGCGACCUCGAUGUUGGAUUACGCCUGUUAACAAAAACA